rnacentral:rRNA from 1 species
UGAACGCGAAGAACCUUACCUGGGUUUGACAUAUGCCGGAAAGCUCCAGAGAUGGAGCCCCUUUUGUCGGGAUACAGGUGGUGCAUGGCUGUCGUCAGCUCGUGUCGUGAGAUGUUGGGUUAAGUCCCGCAACGAGCGCAACCCUCGUCCUAUGUUGCCAGCGGAUAAUGCCGGGGACUCAUAGGAGACUGCCGGGGUCAACUCGGAGGAAGGUGGGGAUGACGUCAAGUCAUCAUGCCCCUUAUGUCCAGGGCUUCACGCAUGCUACAAUGGCCGGUACAAAGGGCUGCGAUAUCGCAAGAUGGAGCGAAUCCCAAAAAGCCGGUCUCAGUUCGGAUUGGGGUCUGCAACUCGACCCCAUGAAGUCGGAGUCGCUAGUAAUCGCAGAUCAGCAACGCUGCGGUGAAUACGUUCCCGGGUCUUGUACACACGCAC